UACGAAGGGGCUAGCGUUGUUCGGAUUUACUGGGCGUAAAGCGCACGUAGGCGGAUCGUUAAGUCGGGGGUGAAAUCCUGGAGCUCAACUCCAGAACUGCCUUCGAUACUGGCGAUCUUGAGUCCGGAAGAGGUGAGUGGAACUCCUAGUGUAGAGGUGGAAUUCGUAGAUAUUAGGAAGAACACCAGUGGCGAAGGCGGCUCACUGGGACUGGUAUUGACGCUGAGGUGCGAAAGGCGUGGGGAGCAAACAGG
rnacentral:rRNA from 1 species